UACGUAGGGGCUAGCGUUGUCCGGAUUUAUUGGGCGUAAAGAGCGUGUAGGCGGCCAGGUAGGUCUGCUGUGAAAACUCGAGGCUCAACCUCGAGACGUCGGCGGAAACCAUCUGGCUAGAGUCCGGAAGAGGAGAGUGGAAUUCCUGGGUGUAGCGGUGAAAUGCGCAGAUAUCAGGAAGAACACCCGUGGCGAAGGCGGCUCUCUGGGACGGUACUGACGCUGAGACGCGAAAGCGUGGGGAGCGAACAGG
rnacentral:rRNA from 1 species